rnacentral:tRNA from 1 species
GCCGUGCGAGCAGCGGUUCCCGAUGCCACUCUCACUCUAGCUGGAGGCGACCCCGAUGAUCGUGUCAGCGCGCUCGCCUC